rnacentral:rRNA from 1 species
AUGGCUGAACCGGUUAAGCUCAUCCGCACAUUAUGGAGCCCAUUCGUCCACCGCGCCGCUGCCGCCCUACAACUCAAAGGGGUGCCCUACGAGCUGGUCCUGGAAGAUCUCCAGAGCAACAGCGAGCUGCUGCUGAAGCACAACCCCAUCCACCAGAACCAGAAGGUGCCCGUUCUGGUCCACAGUGGCCGGGCCAUCCGCGAGUCCCUAAUCAUCAUUGAGUACAUCGACGAUGCCUUCGACGAACCGCCUCUCCUGCCGGCCAAUCCAUGGUUGCCAGAAAUUUGGGUUGAUCGGGUCGAGGAACGGGGUCGCGGGUCGAGGGUCGCCACCCCUCCAGAACAAGGAUGCCAGAAUCAUUCUGGAAGCUUUUUGGAAUUUUCUGAGAUAAAAACCGGAAAUGUUCCGGAGCUGCCGGAGCCACUUCAGAUGCGUUUCGCAGAUGAAAAUCACUAA